UACGAAGGGGGCUAGCGUUGUUCGGAAUUACUGGGCGUAAAGGGCGCGUAGGCGGCCCUGUCAGUCGGGUGUGAAAGCCCGGGGCUCAACCCCGGAACGGCACCCGAGACGGCGGGGCUGGAGACCGGGAGAGGAGGGUGGAAUAGCCAGUGUAGAGGUGAAAUUCGUAGAUAUUGGCUGGAACACCGGUGGCGAAAGCGGCUCUCUGGCCCGGUUCUGACGCUGAGGCGCGAAAGCGUGGGGAGCAAACAGG
rnacentral:rRNA from 1 species